GUGCUCAUUUACUGACAAGAAAUUCAGGGGAAUUUACUAGUUUACAAACUUUAUUGAAUUUAAGGGAUGAACGGGAAACCCAGCAUCAGGGACAGCCAACGGAUGGAAAAGAAAAAAGGAAGAAGGAGAGAAACGACGACAAGAAGAGAAUCUGUAUUAACUGUAUCCAAUUUAAAAGAUGAAAAAUUCAAAAAUAAUAAAUUGAUAAAAAAAGUCAUCUUAAUAUCUUUUCUA